rnacentral:rRNA from 1 species
GGGGAAUCUUCCGCAAUGGGCGCAAGCCUGACGGAGCAAGACCGCGUGAGGGAAGAAGGUCUGUGGAUUGUAAACCUCUUUUGAUAGGGAAGAAGACAGUGACGGUACCUAUCGAAUCAGCCUCGGCUAACUCCGUGCCAGCAGCCGCGGUAAUACGGAGGAGGCAAGCGUUAUCCGGAAUGAUUGGGCGUAAAGCGUCCGCAGGUGGCAAGUCAAGUUUGCGGUUAAAGGCUCUGGCUCAACCAGAGACAGGCCGUGAAAACUGACUAGCUAGAGUAUGGUAGGGGCAGAGGGAAUUCCCAGUGUAGCGGUGAAAUGCGUAGAGAUUGGGAAGAACACCGGUGGCGAAAGCGCUCUGCUAGGCCAAAACUGACACUGAGGGACGAAAGCUAGGGGAGCGAAUGGGAUUAGAUACCCCAGUAGUCCUAGCCGUAAACGAUGGAUACUAGGUGUAGCUUGUAUCGACCCAAGCUGUGCCGUAGCUAACGCGUUAAGUAUCC